UACGGAGGGUGCAAGCGUUGCUCGGAAUUACUGGGCGUAAAGGGCGUGUAGGCGGUUUCGUAUGUCUGGCGUGAAAGCCCCGGGCUCACCUCGGGAAGUGCGUCGGAAACUGCGAGACUAGAGUCCCGGAGAGGGAGGUGGAAUUCCAGGUGUAGCGGUGAAAUGCGUAGAUAUCUGGGGGAACAUCAGUGGCGAAGGCGGCUUCCUGGACCAACACUGACGCUGAGGCGCGAAAGCGUGGGGAGCAAACAGGAUUAGAAACCCCGGUAGU
rnacentral:rRNA from 1 species